rnacentral:lncRNA from 1 species
GUCACAGGAUGUCUGACCUUAUUCCUGAAACUUAGCUCUGCAGUUGCUGAAGGUGCUCCAAGAAAUUCAGGUCCAUGAUAAUUAAUUGUCAAAAAUUUAGAGGUGCUACAAUAGAUAGGAUUGUCCAAGGAGGAAAGGAAGUAAAAUACAUCCAAGCCAAGAAUGUUUCAGACCCUGUCACCCGGCUGCUUGAAGAGUUAUAUAACGUAUUUCUUGAAUAACAUGCAGGUCUGCCAUUAAGGCAGAGUGUAAGGGAGAGAGAAACCGUGAUGGAGAGAAAUUCCAGGCAGAUGUGUACACAGCUGUUGUGGAGGGGUGGCGGCCCACAUGCAUAUGGAUGUGAGAUUGGGUGAUGAACAGUCUGAAGGCCUUCAUGGGAUCGGUGUCCCACUGUACCUGGAGGAAAGGCACGACGACACAGCACGCGGAAGUGUGGACCGACAGCCCUUGCUAUGUACCCACAGAUUGUCCCCACUACAUCUCACCCACGUGUGUGCAGUCACACCUCUAUGUGACUUCUAAUCCCAC